rnacentral:snRNA from 1 species
AGCUUUGCGCAGUGGCAGUAUCGUAGCCAAUGAGGUUUAUCCGAGGCGCGAUUAUUGCUAAUUCAAAGAUAAGCUACAUUCAAAAGGACAAAUGUAUUAUCGCACUCAUGAUAAGAUA